UUGCGACCACAUUAUGUUGAAAUACCAGUUCUCGUACGAUCACCGUUAAGUAACGUUUAACCUGGUCAGUACUUAGAUGGGUGACCGCUUGGGAAAACCAGGUCCUGUAA